rnacentral:lncRNA from 1 species
AAAAGCUCUUUGAAAAUCAAACAAGACAAUCGUUAUGCAGAUGAAAAGAUUGCUUUUAUUCUUGUUUUUUAGGGUUUUUUGUGAUCACCAAUUUCAUGCAAAAAAGCAAAAAGGGAAAACAAAUGGAAAACAAAUGUUUUAACAUGAAUUAUUUGAAUGAAAAUAUCAUUGCACAAAAUGUUGCCAACAAUGUCAUCACUUCUCCUUUUGGCAUGGGAGAAGGGUUUUUA